rnacentral:rRNA from 1 species
AGAGUUUGAUCAUGGCUCAGAAUCAACGCUGGCGGCGUGCCUAACACAUGCAAGUCGAACGAGAAAGUGGAGCAAUCCAUGAGUAAAGUGGCGCACGGGUGAGUAACACGUGACUAACCUACCCUGGAGUGGGGGAUAACUGAGGGAAACCUUAGCUAAUACCGCAUAAUACCUACGGGUCAAAGGAGCAAUUCGCUUCAGGAGGGGGUCGCGGCCGAUUAGUUAGUUGGCGGGGGUAAUGGCCCACCAAGACAGUGAUCGAUCCGGCCUGAGAGGGCGCACGGACACACUGGAACUGAAACACGGUCCCAGACUCCUACGGGAGGCAGCAGUGGGGAAUUUUGCGCAAUGGGGGGAAACCCUGACGCAGCAACGCCGCGUGGAGGAUGAAGUCCUUCGGGACGUAAACUCCUUUCGAUCGGGACGAUUAUGACGGUACCGGAAGAAGAAGCCCCGGCUAACUUCGUGCCAGCAGCCGCGGUAAUACGAGGGGGGCGAGCGUUGUUCGGAAUUAUUGGGCGUAAAGGGUGCGUAGGCGGUUUUGUAAGUCUUAUGUGAAAUCUAUGGGCUCAACUCAUAGACUGCAUGAGAAACUGCAGGGCUUGAGUAUGGGAGAGGUGAGUGGAAUUCCUGGUGUAGCGGUGAAAUGCGUAGAUAUCAGGAGGAACACCUGUGGCGAAAGCGGCUCACUGGACCAUAACUGACGCUGAUGCACGAAAGCUAGGGGAGCAAACAGGAUUAGAUACCCUAGUAGUCC